rnacentral:rRNA from 1 species
CACGCCCUAAACGAUGUCAACUGGUUGUUGGGUCUUUACUGACUCAGUAACGAAGCUAACGCGUGAAGUUGACCGCCUGGGGAGUACGGCCGCAAGGUUGAAACUCAAAGGAAUUGACGGGGGCCCGCACAAGCGGUGGAGCAUGUGGUUUAAUUCGAUGCAACGCGAAGAACCUUACCUGGCCUUGACAUCUGGGGAACCCUCAGAGAUGAGGGGUGCCGCAAGGAGCCCCAAGACAGGUGC